rnacentral:rRNA from 1 species
AAUACGUGAGCAACUUUCCCUUAAGACAGGGAUAGCUUCGUGAAAACGGAGGUAAUAUCUGAUAAUAUCUUUUAACCGCAUGGUUUUUAGAUUAAAGGCGGGGAUCUUCGGACCUGCCACUUAGGGAUGGGCUCGCGUCCUAUCAGCUUGUUGGUGAGGUAAUGGCUCACCAAGGCGUAUGACGGGUAGCUGGUUUGAGAGAAUGACCAGCCACACUGGGACUGAGACACGGCCCAG